rfam:Shimwellia blattae DSM 4481 = NBRC 105725, complete genome.
UUCAUCGUGAGGUGAAAUCUGAAGGAAGCCGGAAGCAAAAUGCUGGCCUGACGAACAGGAAGCGGUUGAGGCGGCAUGGCAGGGAAAGUUAGGGCAAGAGAUAUAAAUCCCAUUCUGUGAUCUGAUAAACAAAUCAAAUUUUAGCGAUUAUAACGUAGUUAUGUCUAUUAAAAUAGCCAGUAAUACUGUU